GAUCAUGGCUCAGGAUGAACGCUAGCUACAGGCUUAACACAUGCAAGUCGAGGGGCAGCAUGUUGGUUGCUUGCAACCAAUGAUGGCGACCGGCGCACGGGUGAGUAACGCGUAUCCAACCUACCCUUGUCCAUCGGAUAACCCGUCGAAAGGCGGCCUAACACGAUAUGCGGUUCACAGUAGGCAUCUAACGUGAACGAAAUGUAAAGGAGAAGGAUGGGGAUGCGU
rnacentral:rRNA from 1 species